UCCAGAUUUGGUGUUUUUGGGGUCAAAUUUUGGGGUUUUUUGGGUCAAAUUUGGGGUUUUUGGGUCAGAUUUGGGGUUUUUUUGGGUCAGAUUUGGGUUUUUAGGGUCCAAAUUGGGUCAAAUUUGGGUUUUUUGGGGUCAAAUUGGGGCAGAUUUGGGGUUUUUUGGGUCAGAUUUGGGGUUUUUUAGGCUCCAAUUUGGGUCAAAUUUGGGGUUUUUGGGGUCAAAUUGGGUCAGAUUUGGGGUUUUUUUGGGUCAGAUUUGGGGUUUUUUGGAUCAUAUUUGGGGUUUUUUGGGUCCAAAUUGGGUCAAAUUUGGG
rnacentral:lncRNA from 1 species